rnacentral:rRNA from 1 species
UACGAAGGGGGCUAGCGUUGUUCGGAUUUACUGGGCGUAAAGGGAGCGUAGGCGGAUUGAUCAGUCAGGGGUGAAAUCCCAAGGCUCAACCUUGGAACUGCCUUUGAUACUGUCGGUCUUGAGUCCGGGAGAGGUGAGUGGAACUGCGAGUGUAGAGGUGAAAUUCGUAGAUAUUCGCAAGAACACCAGUGGCGAAGGCGGCUCACUGGCCCGGAACUGACGCUGAGGCUCGAAAGCGUGGGGAGCAAACAGGG